rnacentral:rRNA from 1 species
CGUCGUCGACGUACGUCGUACGAGGAGUUUCGAUCCUGGACUCAGGACGAACGCUGGCGGCGUAGCUUAACACAUGCAAGUCGACGAAGGCCCUGCUUGCAGGGUGCUCGAGUGGCGAACGGGUGAGUAACACGUGGGUGAUCUGCCCUUACUUUGGGAUAAGCCUGGGAAACUGGGUCUAAUACUGGAUAGGACCAUGCUGUAGGUGGUGUGGUGGAAAGAUUUUUUCGGUAAGGGAUGAGCUCGCGGCCUAUCAGCUUGUUGGUGGGGUAAUGGCCUACCAAGGCGUCGACGGGUAGCCGGCCUGAGAGGGUGACGGCCACAUUGGGACUGAGAUACGGCCCAGACUCCUACGGGAGGCAGCAGUGGGGAAUAUUGCACAAUGGGCGCAAGCCUGAUGCAGCGACGCCGCGUGGGGGAUGACGGCCUUCGGGUUGUAAACUCCUUUCAGCCAUGACGAAGCCUCUUUUGGGGUGACGGUAGUGGUAGAAGAAGCACCGGCUAACUACGUG